CGGAGAAACAACGUACCGUUCCAGGAAAACCGUUCUUCCGCCGUCAUCUGCGGCUAUGCUAACUAGCCUUAGCAUUUGAGAGUUGAGGUGUGCAUUGAAGACGUAAUUGUGUGGACGAGGCCUGAGGAGAGAGAGAGAGAGAGACGAGGACAGAGGAAUGGACAAGAGCAGGGAGUAAACAAAAAUCCGCUGCCAGGAUUAAGAAGAGUUUCAUAUUUGGGGGACUGUCAACAUCACCCUGAGCAGAUAACACGUCAGCAGCGUUUGGCAGCGAAUUGUGCAGCGCUUGAUCUUUAUCUGUUGUAGCAUAUGCCUCGGUGUGUUUCAUCACACUCGGUCCUGCAGGUUCUGCUGCUCAGAUGCACAAACUACAAAUAAAGACAUAUAUUGUGCAUUUGCUGUGAACGAGACAGGUGCAAUUUUGAGCAACUAAGACCACAAACCACUGAUCGUAGCUGGAAACAAUAAGCCCAUUAGCUCUCCUUUAAUAGACUCUGGCGUGUCAAAGCAUGUUUGUGGAGGGUGGUUCAGGAAACAUUAGCGAAGAAACGCGCACUUUUUUAACGCCUGGACUUGUAGGAGCGGACAGGAAAUAUCUGUCCUGGUACGUCAGGAUCGUCUGCCAGUCAAGGCUCUUCGAUUGUUAAAGACCAAUGUUUGCUCUGUCAACAGGACGUGGUAAGCCAAAGUAUAUCGGUUUCCCACACCAACACUAGGUGCACUGCAAACAAA